rnacentral:rRNA from 1 species
UUCCAGCUCCAAUAGCGUAUAUUAAAGUUGUUGCAGUUAAAAAGCUCGUAGUUGAAUUUCGGGACCAAUAUGUCGGUCGUACUUUGUACGUACUAGCAUUAUUGGUUUCUCCCUUCUGAAGAACCACGAUGUCAUUAAUUUGGUGUCGUGGGGAAUCAGGACUGUUACUUUGAAAAAAUUAGAGUGUUUAAAGCAGGCUCGCGCUUGAAUACAUUAGCAUGGAAUAAUGAAAUAGGACGUUUGAUUCUAUUUUGUUGGUUUCUAGGAUCGACGUAAUGAUUAAUAGGGAUAGUUGGGGGCAUUAGUAUUCAAUUGUCAGAGGUGAAAUUCUUGGAUUUAUUGAAGACUAACUACUGCGAAAGCAUUUGCCAAGGAUGUUUUCAUUAAUCAAGAACGAAAGUUAGGGGAUCGAAGACGAUCAGAUACCGUCGUAGUCUUAACCAUAAACUAUGCCGACUAGGGAUCGG